rnacentral:misc_RNA from 1 species
AUUGGGAGAGAUCCCUACACCUAUCCGGUGUUUCAAGCCGGGCCAAGGGUUUGUUUAGGAAAAGAAAUGGCGUUCUUGCAAAUGAAGAGGGUGGUUUCUGGAGUCCUAAGUAGGUUUAAAGUGGUGCCAGCGGCAGAGGAUGGUGAGGAGCCGGUUUUUAUUGCCUAUCUCACGAAUAAGAUGAAAGGUGGCUUUCCAGUGACGUUUGAGAAAAGAAUUGCGUACUAAAUGAUUAAAUCUUGAAUAAAUUUGUUGGUUUAGUGUAAUAAAUUGCUUCUAUUACAAAAUAUUCACGUAGUUUGUUUUCUAAUCGUGGAUUAUUGUAAGUUUGUUCCAUUGAACAAAGCAAGAUUUA